rnacentral:rRNA from 1 species
GCUUAGCCUUAAACCUAGAUACUAAUUUUACAAAAUUAUCCGCCAGGGUACUACAAGCGCUAGCUUGAAACCCAAAGGACUUGACGGUGUCUCAGACCCACCUAGAGGAGCCUGUUCUAGAACCGAUAUUCCUCGUUAAACCUCACCACCCCUUGUCUCCACAGCCUAUAUACCGCCGUCGCAAGCUUACCCUGUGAAGGAUAAACAGUAAGCAAAAUGGAUAAUGUCCAAAACGUCAGGUCGAGGUGUAGCUUACGGGGUGGGAAGAAAUGGGCUACAUUUUCUAAUCUUAGAACAAACGAACGGCAUUAUGAAAUUAAUCCCUAAAGGUGGAUUUAGAAGUAAAAAUCAAAUAGAGAGUCAUUUUGAACCAGGCUCUGAGACGCGC